UUUUCACUACUUAUUCAAUUUUGGAACUUAAUGUUGGUCUGUUCGGGGUUUCAAUUUCUUCCUAAUUCGGCUUCCGGUCUUAGCUGGACCCAUCUGGGAGGUAGGUUUGUGAGUGUGAGAGAUCAAUCUGUACCGCGGGCAUCCGACAUAUGCUUAUCCAGGGUAUACUACAGACCUCCACAUGCUGGACAGUAGGAUUCAGCAGAGAAUGAGUCCCACAUCCUCUUUUCAUCCAUAAGCCACUCUUCCCAACUACUCUUCCGCCUUCCAUUGUCCCUAUGUCUACUUUACUGCUCAAUCUGGAUUUUGGGGAACCUCCUCCCAAAAAGGCAUUAGAAGGAAAUGCCAAGCACCGAAAUUCUGUCAAGAAGUGGAGGCUUUUAGAAUGGAGAGGCUUUCUGAGUAAAAAGAACCAACCCCCUAGCAAGGCGCCUAAGUUGCACUCUGAAUCUCCAAAGAAAGGGGAAACUCCUACGGUGGAUGGCACUUGGAAGACCCCUUCCUUCCCAAAAAAGAAGAAGACAGCUGCCUCCAGCAAUGGGUCAGGACAGCCCCUGGACAAGAAAGCUGCAGUGUCUUGGUUGACCCCUGCCCCUUCAAAAAAGGCUGAUUCUGUUGCUGCUAAAGUAGAUUUGCUGGGGGAGUUCCAGAGUGCCCUUCCAAAGAUCAAUAGCCACCCAACCCACUCUCAGAAGAAGAGCUCCCAGAAGAAAUCCUCUAAAAAGAACCGUCCUCAGAAGAAUGCCCCACAGAACUCCACCCAAGCUCAUUCGGAGAAUAAGUGCUCCGGAGCAUCCCAGAAGUUGCCACGGAAGAUGGUGGCAAUUGACUGUGAGAUGGUGGGCACAGGACCAAAGGGGCAUGUUAGUUCCUUGGCUCGAUGUAGCAUUGUCAACUACAACGGAGAUGUGCUUUAUGACGAGUACAUUCUUCCCCCCUGCCACAUUGUGGACUACCGAACCAGGUGGGGUGGUAUCCGGAAGCAGCACAUGGUGAAUGCCACACCCUUCAAGAUUGCUCAAGGCCAGAUCUUGAAGAUACUUGCAGGGAAGACAGUGGUGGGGCAUGCCAUCCACAACGACUUCAAAGCCCUUCAGUACUUUCACCCCAAGUCCCUCACCCGUGACACCUCCCAUAUCCCCCACCUCAACCAGAAGACUGACUGCCCGGAGAAUGCCACCAUAUCUCUGAAGCAUCUCACCAAGAAGCUGCUAAACUGGGAUAUCCAGGUUGGGAAGAGCGGACAUUCCUCUGUGGAAGAUGCCCAGGCCACCAUGGAGCUGUACAAGUUGGUUGAAGUUGAGUGGGAAGAGCACCUAGCCCAGAAUCCCCCUACAGACUAGUGGCAGUGGGGACGCUGGUGAUAUGGGGAGGCAGAGGCAGUGCCCAGAGAAACAGGGCAGUGGACCAAUGGACAGCUCCACCAGCUCCACAUCUUUGGAAGCUAGAUUUGUGGGGAGAGAGAAGCUCUACCCCAGACUUAAUACCCAUUGAAAUUUCACCUCAGGUGUUGUUUCCUGUGUCUGGUUAAGUGUCCCAUGGAAGGGGGAAGCCUUCACGUCAGAACCCAGCCCUAUACCGUUUACUUCUUAAAUGGUGCUAACCACAGGUGUCCCAGGGUGCUCUGUGCCAGUUAAGAUUUUUAACUUUCAAGGGGCAAGGCAUACUGGGAAACAUAGUUUCCCAAACUGCCUUAUCACUUGGGUGGACAUAUGUCUCCUUUUAUGCCUUUUGGUCUUGAGUAAUUAACAGCAUCCUCUUCCAUGCUCAGAAGUGUUCUGGUUGGGGCCAGGCAUGGUGGCUCACGCCUGUAAUCCCAACACUUAGAGAGGCCAAGGCGGGCGGAUCACCUGAGAUCAGGAGUUCAAGACCAGCCUGGCCAACAUGGCAAAAUCCCGUUCUCUACUAAAAAUACAAAAAAUUUGUGGGGUGUGGUGGCGGGCGCCUGUAAUCCUAGCUACUCGGGAGGCUGAGGCAGGAGAAUCGCUUGAGCCCAGGAGGCGGAGAUUGCAGUGAGCCGAGAUAGCGUCACUGCCCUCCAGCCUGGGUGACAAGAGUAAGACUCCAUCUCCAAAAAAAAAAAAAAAGAAGUGUCCUGGUUGGCUAAUAAAUUGUGCAGUCCCUGCCGGGCACAGUGGCUCACGCCUGUAAUCCCAGCACUUUGGGAGGCCGAGGUGGGCAGAUCACGAGGUCAGGAGAUUGAGACCAUCCUGGCUAACAUGGUGAAACCCCGUCUCUACUAAAAAUACAAAAAAUUAGCCGGGUGUGGUGGCAGGCACCUGUAGUUCCAGCUACUCAGGAGGCUGAGGCAGAAGAAUGGCAUGAACCCAGGAGGUGGAGCUUGCAGUGAGCCGAGACUGUGCCACUACACUCCAGCCUGGGCCAUGGCCACAGAGUGAGACUCCGUCUCAAAAAAAAAAAAAAAAAAAAUUAUGUGGUCCCUUUCCAUGUCACAGACUCUGCUUUUGGCUCAGAGUCUAUAUCUAGCCUGUGUCAGGAUAUUGCCUGUUCUUCCCACGUUGACUUCCAGAGCAGCCAUCGCUGGUGAGCUUUAGUUCUUCUUAGGGUUCCAAGGCAUUAGAAGUAAGAGUGUAGUUUGGAAAUCAACUUUUGUGAUUUAGGAAAGCUGUCUCUUUCCUAAGGUAAUAGGGGGUUUAUUUCAUUUAGGCCCCAAUUGGUAGGUUUUAAAAUAAUUUAUAAAGUGUUUUAAUAAUUUGGUUGUCUUUUUUACCUUGCUAAAGCAAGUCUCUAAAAACUCAAAUUAUUCCCUUGAUAAAUUUUUAUAAUGGAAAA